AGCUUUUUGAAUCCGUGGAGAGAUUUUGUCAGGCACCAAUCCAUUGGGGCUGGUCAGACUUCGAAGGUAAGUGAAGUU
rnacentral:pre_miRNA from 1 species